CAGUAUAAACAACAUCUCCAAGACAAAGAUAUGCCACGCGGUCCAAGAAUGGAAACACAUCUGACCGUGGCUUCUCCAUAGUCAGUACCACCGUUCGCCCAUACUUCCGUGCAUGGUUUGAAAGAAUCGAGAUAACUAGGACAACUGUGACCCAAGAAAGGCUGUGUGUCUUGUCCAUCUAGAAAGAAGCGUUGCUGAGUAAUGACUGCAAUAAUCUCCCAUAGCAGAAUUUGCAGCAUGGAAAUCGAGACAGCUCGAUUUCGUGUAAGCAGGGCGAUCGUGAAGGAAACGUCCCUAGAGGGGUGCGGGGUCUGGGGCGGAGCAGUCUUUGCGGGGCUCCUCCUUAAAAUGUAUAUAAGCACAAUA